UAAAAUGCCCAAAUCACCUUUAGAAAAAACCUUAUUUUCAUAAUACUUUUUACCUCUAGCUGCGUGACCGUUCUCCUUUUCACUCAAAAUCCCCCCAUUAUCUCCAUUAAAUCUCCCCCUAAGCCACCAUCCACCAUUAGCGGUGUAAACCUAGAACCCAAAAAGUCCUUUCCAGAUUUUGCACCUCCACUAGCCUGAGAAUCCCUUUUACCCCGCCGUGACUUUCUCUUGACCAACAUCCAAGGUUCGUAAUCGACUCCCUUUCCAUCAUUGUCUUCUCCCACGCCAUCACUGGAAGCCACCACUUCCUCAGUCAUCGGCCUUUUCAAAGCCACCUUAACCCUCACCGACAGGCAUAUUUCCUUAACAUGUCCAUACUUCUCGCAACUGAAACAAAUCGUCAGGAGUGCCUCGUAUUCAACCCGUUGGAUUACUCCAUCCACCAAGACUUUGGAGAUAACCUGGGAGACCCGGCAGAUGAAUCCAAGCCAACACCACACUGGGAUAGGGUUGCUCUGGAUUAAAAUUUUUCGUCCAUGGUUGCACAGUGAGGUAUUGCCUGAAUAUAAUCUAUGCUCCCUGGGUUAAAACUUUAUUGUAAUCUUCCAUUUCCUGAAAUUUCACCAAAAAAUAUCCAUUAGUAAUAUCCAUUAAGUGAAAAGAAUUGACCGGUUUCCAUAGAUUAAGGAUACGGUUUUAUAGCAUGUUAUAACCAAUGUUACGCCCGAGCAAUUUAAAAUAACAGUCGAUUCGAUCUCUUUGAACAGUAUGUCUUUAAUGCGAUCUAAAAAAGCGAUUACCGGAAUCCCAUUAACCAUUGACGUGUUAACAUCCCCAUCCUGUAAAACAAGAUCACAUUCGUUUCUUGUAAGGUACCUAUCGGGAGAAGUCAGUCCACCCCCAAAAAGUUUAUCUUUGAAAGACAUCAUCGACUGUUGAUCUGAGCCAACAACCAUGUUAGUCUCUUCUCCAUCAACUGCUUCUUUGAAACGAACUUUUUUGGUGUUCCGAUCCCCAUCGUCGCAAGGAUCGCUAAUUGCACCAAUACUAGGAUUUUCCAUUCGAGAGAGUCUCAAAAUUGUAAUCUUAACAUAGUAUAAUAGAAAAUGUUUUUCAUUGUAAAUGUUCUGCCCUUUAAUUUGUUUAUAUUUUCAUACUCUUUAAGUUGACACUACUUAUUGUUUAGAAAAAAAAUGAAUAUACAUUAAA